CAGAAUCUCAGGUACAGGUAGAAAUGAGAUGAGUGUUUCAGUUCAUAAUGCAUGUGAUUAUUUUCUACAUAGGACUGGUGGGUGGGGACUCAAAGAGGGAGAGUUAGCUCUUGGGAGGAGAUAAAGUGACAUUAUAGAUAAGAGAAUAUAGCCAGGGAGAGCAGACAGAAAGGCAUGAUGGGAGACUCAUGAGCAGAAGCAGAGGAGAGGACGGAAAUAAUUACUUCCGAGGAAGGUGAAGAAUUACAUGAUGAAGAUUCUGGUCUGUGUGCCACGAAAUUCCUCCCAGCAGGCAAGGUCAGACUCUGAAAACAAAACAAAAUCUCUAAUUGAUGAGAAAGAUUGGUCCAGAAAAUGACAGGAUGCAAGCUUUGUAGUUUGGGGGUGUUGCCAUGGUUACCUUGAUCCAAGCACUAUUCCGGGAGCUAUAGGCAUAGCUAGAGUCAAGGCUGAGAUAUCUCCCUUGCAUGGUGUUUCCGUAUUUGUCAGUGGAGACAUGGCCAGUGUCCAGCCUGGAAAGCAGUGAGAGGUGGAACUUUGCACAGAAGUUAGAUCUGGACCCAGGACCAGAAGAGAACGAGGAGCUCAAGUUCCAGAGUCAGUGGCGAGAGUUUGGAGAUAUGGAAAUGAAAGAAAGAAUGACAGAUGAUGGUGGGACCCUGUACGCAGCCUUGAGACCCUCUGCAAGGCAAUGAGAUAGCUCAGACAGCCACAGAACACUGCAGAAGAUGUGAGACCUGAAGACUGUGAUGAGAUCCACAGAUAACUCUGGCACUCUCAAUACGGCUGUGGGACCAGUAGAUAGUCUUGAGAUACUUCAGAUGACUGUGGAACCAACCAACCAACAACCCUAAGACCUUGGGACCCUGAAGACAGCGAUGAGACUCUGCAGAUGGCCAUGGGAACCUGUAGGAAGUCAUAAGACCCUGCAGACAACCAUGAGACUCUGCAAAAGGUCAUCAGACUGUGGAGAUGGCAAUGAGGCCUUGCAAAUGGUUGUGAGACCCUGCAUAUAACCAAGAAUCUCUGCAGAAUGUCAUGAGACCACCCUGCAAAUGCCAUGAGACUACCCUGCAGAUG
rnacentral:lncRNA from 1 species